UGUGACCAAAAGCCGCCAGGCAAUGGCGCAUGCUCAGUUAGAGGGGCUCGGAGUUUCCGCGGGUGGAUUCCGAGUCUCCAGAUUUUAGCAGAAACUCGAAAGGAAGGUAGAUUGGAAACCCCACCCGAGCAGCCUGCUCCUGGACUGGAACCAGGGAUGGCGGGUUGAGAUCACUACAACUUGCGGUUACGACCCUGGUGACUGUGGCUGAGGCCAAGAUGGGACACAUGGAGCCCGCUUUUCCUGCUGCUGUCAGUCCUAGCCUGCCUCUCGUCUACCUUUUGUCAGCCUGUGAGAGUGUCUUCCACCAUCUUUCCACGUUUAGGAAAACUGAAGCGUUGACCUUUCUGUGCUGCGGACAUCAAGAGCGCCUCCCGUGGCAAACAGGCUCUACACUGACUAUUCUCCGUUGCCAAGAGGCAACUGCUCCUGGUUCCAAAAGGGGAAUCCAGUUUUGAACGCACUUAAGGUUACUUAAGCUGGGACCCAGAAAAACUACCCCACGAGUCUUUGGCAAACGAAGGUUCGUGCUAGGUGAGGUCUCAGGCGGUGAAGUUAAGCCACGUUCAAAGCCAGCCUUCCAGCUGGGAGCUUAGGAACGUGCUUUCCCCGGCCAGACGCCUUGGGAAGACUGCGCGAGGGAAAGCGCGUUCCUGGGACUCCCGGGACACCCCUCCGGCCGUCCCUUCCAGGCGGGGCAAUUCCUCCCAAUGCUGGUGACCUCGGAAACCUGGAUUCCGGAGCCGUGCGGACGCCACGCGCUGCGGCAGCCGAGCACGUUUUGAGUCGGGCGGGCUCCAGCCCCGCGCUCCUGGGCCGCAGUGCGCACUGCGCAGCGGGGCUCCGGGGCCAAGCAAUUUCUUUAUGUUUUCCAGGAUGGGGCGGGGACAAAGUCAAUUCUGGAAGAAUUGCUUUUGUUAGUCCUAAAGACUAAGGCUUUCAAAGUAAUUUCCCAUUUUUUUUUUUUUUUUUUGUCGAUCUCUGGUUUCUCUCUGGAGAGCAGCCUCCGCAGUGCACUCUGCAUCCACCCAAAGGGUCAUGAUGCCAUUUCUUCACUUCUACACACUGUACCUAUUUAUUGCACUCUGGAGGUCUCUUCCGUGGCGAAACUCGAUUUUAGAUAACUUAUUUUCAACUUGUGUUUAGGAAAAAAUAUUUAUAUCCUGAUGCUUUAAACUGUGCUCUGUUAUUGGGUGGAUGUGAUUUAGACGAGUGCGCUGUUAUGAAGCAGCUUUGUCUAAGUGGACAGGCAACUGUAUUUUUAAAAAUUCCAUUUGUAUAGCAGCGUUGUUUGGCGUCCUAAAUGCGAUAUCUUAAUUUUUAAUCUCCAGUUAUUAUGUAGCUUUAUCUUCUUAAGCUUCUGAUAUUGUUUAAUUUUUUAAAAAAUUCUCUUUAGCUGAACUUUAUAUGCAGCACAAAAUCAUAGUAGGGAAGCCAGUUCUAAGAGACAUCUAAGGAAUUAAUGUUUAAAUUACAGAAAGCAAAUUCCCCUCUUAGAAUUAUGGAAUGAACUUUGAGAGAAAAAAUGUCAUAGGAAAACUAAAAAAUGAGGGAGCCCUCUCUUGCUCUCCUCACUAGGCAAUUGCAGAGGUCUCCAGUAAUCACAGAAGAGGAGACACCUCACCCAACAAUCUUUUAUGCCCAAGGGUAAGGGGACAGGAGUACUGCACCUGUUGAAUAAAGAAUGCCAUCAGCUCUAACAGUUGGACAUCUAGGGCCAAUUACCUAAGGCUAAUACCCCAACAUCACAAAAGACCGUGUCAGCUUUCACAACCUGGAAAUUUGGCGGAGGGGUAGGAGUGGAGUGGGUUAGGGGCAGUAAAAGAGGGAACAAAAGGUACUGUAGAGAGAUGGUUAUUAUUUCAGUAGUGCUAGAUAGAAUCAACUGACCAGAAACAACUGAGAGUUCCUUUCUUUUCUUCAGUUGCAAGAUAGAUUCUUUAAAAACUUCUUAUUGGACAGUGGCAAAUUAUAAUAUGUUUAUGAGGUACAAAGUGAUGCCAUGUUAUAUAUAUAAAAGGUGGAAUGAUUGACUCAGGGUAAUUAAUGGAUUUCUCAUUUAUUCCUAUUGUCUAACUGAAACAUUGUAUCUUUUCACAACAGCAAAUUAUAUUCUUUCAGAAGAUUUCAGUCUUACUUCCACUUCCCAAAUUCAAUGAAACAAACAAUGGAACCAAGAAUAACUUUUUAGGUGUACACAACUCUAUAUAAUAUUCCUCUCCUGCUUUAAUUGUGGCAAGAACAAGUUGAAAACUGAGUAGGAUGGUGGGAGUGUGAAAUGCCAGAAUAGAACAGGUCUAAUCUUAUGGCCCUCUGAGCUCAUUGUAAUAUUAUUUAUUUGAAAUAUUUGUGUAUAACAUAUAUAUGAGCCAAGAACGCUGGAAUAUAAGGCAUGGGAGUAUAUAGAAAAUUGAAAGAAAAGUAAGUUUUUGAAAGUCAUUGUUGCAGGAAAUUAAUAAAUGGAUUUAUAUUUGUUUAAAUUCAUAAAUAAUAGUUAUGCUAAUUUUAUUGUAUGUAUAAAGUGACUUUAUUUUAAAAUAUAAGGGUAUUAAUCUUUAUAGAGGACAGGUAUUAUGUAAGACCCUUAUAUUUAUCCUGACUUUUUAUUCUAUUUUAAAAUAUACAGAUACGCCAACAAAAUUAAUUCCCUAAAGUCAAAUAAGAAGUUAUUUCUUAGAAUAAAAUCCUACCAUUGUUUUUCUGACAUAUUUCAUUGUAUGCAUUUUGUAUUCCUUCUACUGUGUUUUAUUAAAAUAAGUAAAAAAAAAAAAUGCAAGACCAUGAAGCAGUGAUUCCUAUAGAGUCAGUG